CCAGUCAAGAUGAAAAACUUCUUCUAAUGGAAUCCAGCUUGAAAGCUACUCAAGAGCAGCUAACUGAGCAAAUAGCAGAAACAGUUCGCCAAGAACAGAACGGUAGAAAACCCCAGGCAGAGCUGAAGACAGUGACAGAAAGGAUUAUUGCCUCUGAAGAAGAAAAAAAUGAUUGCAAGUGGCAUGAAUUGAUUAAAUUUACCAAUUGAUUCAGUACUGGGCAGUGCCAGACCUCAUGGUGUGCAUCACUCAGAAGAAAGAAAAGGCACUUCAGGUGUCACAGACAUGACAGCCUUGUAGAAAAAAGUAUGGACAUGUCUGGCCAGGCUUGUGAUCUACAGAGAUGCAAAACUUUCUGGAAAAGGACUUCUCUCAAAUGCUAUUCGACCACAAACAGUAGGAAGGAACUAACUGCUCAUAACAGGUUUUGGAAAUAUCAUUAUGGAAACUAUUUGGUUUCCAUAGGUGUCUUCCUUAUGUCAUUCUCUCUUUGGAAAGCUUCUAAAUUCAUCAUCAUGUUCAUCACAUGAGUAGCAUUAUGUCUUGGGAUGUUCUGACAAAACAGACAAUUUUGGAGAAGGUGUGCUGGACACAGUUGUGGUUCUCAGCAAUUGGAUGCAUCUGCUUCCUAUUCGGAACGUGGUUCUACUUACAAUCUAAUUGUGCUACCCUACACUGCUCUAUUAUUUUCUGAGUCUGAGCCUACAUUUUAGGCCAAUCAUCGAAGAGGACAGGAAGACUUGGAAAUUGAAGGCUACACGUAGACAUACUCGUCUGGUUUCAUAUAUAUAUAUGUCUGUGGAGCUGCUCCAUAUUGUGUAAGCAUGCCGUCCUAUUCUUUAGGCUUGUCCUCACAAUUUCCUGGGAUAGGUCAGAAUUAUUGUCUCCAUAUGAGGUGUGAUAUGUGUCAUCUAAUGAUAAAUGGUUGAAUGAUUUAAGUACUUAUUUUGGCUUCAAACUGACUUCGCUCCUUUCACUGGGUCUCGGGCUAUAUAGUUAGGAUAUUUUGUCCAGAUGUAUAGAUGGAGACUUUAAAGAAAACAAAAAAAUCAUUCAGAUGCUACUAAGUUUAACUACUAAAAUAUCACUGUGAGUAGUGAUUAAAUGUGUAUCCACGGAGUACUAUAGUAAAUGAGAUAACAAUGUAAAGCAACUAUUACAUAUGUAAAAGCUAAAUUCAAGUUCGGAUCUCAUCUUUUCCACAUUGACUGAGUAUAUGUAAGUUUUGUUGUAAUGUCAUCCGAUUCCCUAGAAAACCAUCAAUUUAGUAACAUACACAUGUAUACAUGCCAUCAUCACCUGGAGUUAGGUGUACCUGAACUCUUGGAAGCGGCUGCAUAUUUAAGUUUGGUGCAUACAGCUGAAGUCUUUUGAGUUUCUUAUUCUUCUCUCUAGAGAUCAAAUUGUUAAUUAGGAACUUACCUAAUCACUUCUGCUUAGCAUAGGAAAACCUUACUGCAAAGGCUAGGACAAAAGAUGGAUCCUACCUCACAACCAAAUUAAUGCAUAUUCAUCUUAAGGUGUAAAGCAUAAAAUCCAAGAUUAUAAAAAUUUAAAAAAUAUAUUUUAAAUAUCUACUAGAAAAUACUCAAGUUCAAGAUAAACUUGUUGGCUUGUGGAUCAUAGAGAAACACAUAGAAUCUGAAAUGAAACAAGUUAUGGUUUUCUAUGUCCUGAAAUGCAGGGCCAAGAACAUGUUAUCAGGCUUAAUGUAAUUUGCAACAACAUUGGUUUUUGGAAGAACCAAAAACUUUAUGCAGUAAUGAUUAAUUAUAAAAAAAUUAGUUUUAAUUGGGAGGAAUAUUAAUGUAGAAGAAAAACAAAAUUCUAAGUUGAUAUCAACAGAAUAAUUUGUAUUAUCUUUUCUAUACAUCUUUGAAAUUACUGAUACAUUUGUAAGUCAGAGAUAGACCUAAUUCAGGGAAUCUUACAUUAAUUUCUGGGAUCAAAGAGUGUCUGAAGAUUAUGCAAGCAGAAUAUUAUGCCAAUAUCUUCUUCUAAUACAGGUGGCUAUCAAAUUGAAGAUUUGUUUUAUGUUGGUUUCUAUUUAUUUUAUUUUGCUUAUCAUUCCUAUAUAAAUGUAAAUAUACCAAAAUACAUUUAAAGUCCUA